GCUUACGGCCAUACCAGCCCAAGAACACCUGGUCUCGUCUGAUCUCGGAAGCUAAGAAGGCUUGGGCCUGGUUAGUACUUGGAUGGGAGACCUCCUGGGAAUACCAGGUGCUGUAAGCU
ensembl:rRNA 5S_rRNA 5S ribosomal RNA